rnacentral:rRNA from 1 species
GGAAAUGACUGGAUUCUGACGGGUACCUCAGGAAUAAGGAACGGCUAACUCCGUGCCAGCAGCCGCGGUAAUACGGAGGUUCCAAGCGUUGUUCGGAAUUACUGGGCGUAAAGGGAGCGCAGGCGGACAGGUCAGUUUAAAGUGGAAUCCCAGGGCUCAACCCUGGACGUGCUUUGGAUACUGCCUGUCUUGAGUUCGUGAGAGGAAAGUGGAAUUCAGGGUGUAGCGGUGAAAUGCUUAGAUAUCCUGAGGAACACCAGUGGCGAAAGCGACUUUCUGGCACGAAACUGACGCUGAGGCUCGAAAGCAUGGGUAGCGAACGGGAUUAGAUACCCCGGUAGUCCAUGCCGUAAACGUUGUAUACUAGGUGCGGGAGGUAUCGACCCCUUCCGUGCCGAAGCUAACGCAUUAAGUAUACCGCCUGGGGGAGUACGCGCGCAAGCGUGAAACUCAAAGGAAUUGACGGGGGGC